UCCAGAAGAAGGUUGAAGAAGUCACACGAAAGAGAGUCGCCUUGUCUGAAACCUCGUUUGGUAUCGAACGGCUCGAAGAGGUCCUUCCCGAUCCUGACGGAGCUUAUAGUGUUGCUCAACGUCAGUUUGCACAGACAUAUUAGUUUAGCGGGGAUAACAAAUUCAGACAUCGCGGUAUAAAGGCAGCUCCUUUUCGAGCUGUCAAAAGCAGCUUUGAAAUCGACGAAGAGGUGGUGUGUGUCGAUUCUCUCUUCACUGGUUUUUUCCAAGAUUUGGCGCAUGGUGAAUAUGGAGCUUUAAUCUUUCACACAAUACGCUCGAUAGAACCUUGUACGCUGAUAGUGAUCUUUGACUGAGUGUUGAAAGCUCUUCUGCGACCAAAUAGAUCGCCUUUUUGUCAGAAUCGCAAUAUCGCAAAUUUGUUUUUCCCUAUAUAAAUUAACACCGCAUUCAUACAAUUGAUUUUUCCCUUUUGGUUGUAGAGGGGGUUUACAACAAUUUUUUUCUAUUGGUUCUUUUGUCUGAUUCGUCCAGGUCUUCUAUUAUUUUUUCUAUUCUAUCGUAGUCUAAAUUACUGGGUAGAGCGUUCGAGUAUGACAUUUUAUUUAAUACCCUAAUUACUUUUAAAACUUUAUUAAGUUGACCAUAUUCGAUGCAGUACCCGCCGGGGGAAGCAGAAGAAGAGGAAGACCUCCACUCAGUUGGAAGGACCAAGUGGAGAAGGACCUGGCUUCGCUUGGAAUAUCCAAUUGGUGCCACGUAGCGAAAAGAAGAAACGACUGGCGCGCUGUUGUUAACUCGGCUAUAAUCGCGUAAGCGGUGUCUACGCCAAUUAAGAAGAAGAUAUGGGCCUUAAUUUUGUAUAUUCUCUGGAGAGUCCCCCGAAGGUGGUGAAUCGCAGAGAAUUUAAUUAUUAUAAGCUGAUGGGUGCCCCUGAAGGUUGUGAAUCGCAGCUUUUUUUUUAAUAUUUUAAUUAUUGGUUGUACGAACCGUUUUUUUUUUAUUGAUUUGUAUUCAAAGAUACAAUUUAUCAUUAUAAGUCAUUGAGGCGCAAAAAUAAGCAGAGUAAAGGAAUUAAAAAACACUCUACUUACAAUUCUUGAUACAUCUUUUCUUAACUUAAUUUGGUCUUCCUCGGUGGGUGAAAUGUUUUCCUUUUUCCUUGUUUACUGUCAAUGGUUGAAAGACCCUCGAUGGCUAUGCCUAAUCAGGUUUCCUUUGUCCUCUAUGAGGAUCACUUUAUUUAUCCUCUAUGAGGAGCACUUCUAUUUUUGCUCUAUGAGGAUCACUUCACUUGUCUUUUAUAAGGAUCUUUAUGUGUGGGUCCGAACCCACGACAACGAUCACGCAUCCUUUUCCGAGGACAUUUUUGCAUGGCCUCGCGUUGGUCGCCAAUUAACUAAACAGAUUUUAGUUUAAUUUUAAACUUUUAUGAGUUUUUACAACUGACUUAAAAUAUUACAAAUUUGCGGCGACUACGCCUAAAUGCCUGACUUCCCUAAACACUAGCAGUUGUAGCCAGUGACCAAAACCCUUUGAUGAAAUUUGACUCCAGUAGUUAUUUGUUAUUCUAGCUAGUUUGCCGAUGCAUUGUCAACGAUUCAAUGGAAAUGAAAUCGAAUAUGCGAUCGCUGACCCUGUGUGUUUGUUGAUGUUGUUGUCUUGCGUUGACUUGUCGAUUUAAAAAGAUCAGCUUUGAUUUUUCUGACGAUGGCUCUACCGGCAUGUUACGCCGUUUUUCAGCAAAUUAGGAUCACUUUUAAACGAAAUUUAUGGCGUUAUACAGGGUUUGUUCGGAAAGUAAUAGGACGGGGUUCGGUAGAGGGCAUUCCUAGCUAACGAACGAACGGCUUUUCAGCUGUCUCCGAGCACAUGGAGAGUCAGGACAAACAAUUACCGUAGAAUGCCUUUCGUGACGUCUUUAAUGCUUGGAAAUUGCGCUGGCAGCGCUGCAUCGCCACAAAAGGAACCUAUUUUGAAAGUUUUUAAAGAAUUGUAAUGAUUGGUUCAAUAAAUUUGUUUAAUUCGACUCAGUUCUAUUACUUUCCGGAAAAACCCAUUUUCCUCGAACAAAUCAUAAUUUUGGCAAUCUGAGUAGGCUUAUUGCAACAAUUUUAUUUAGAUCAAAAAUCAUCGUUUUUACGGAGUACAAUGCAAAUAUUUAUUCAUUUUUCAAAUACUUUAAUUUUAUUUAACACAUACAGUUAAAACAACAUAUUUUUUCCACGACUGCCAAUUAAUAAUGGAUAUUUAUACAAAGAACCAAAUAUUGUCGAAUCAAAUAUCGUUAAAAUGGGAUUGCAAGGAAUAACAGAAAAAAAGUAAACAUGAUAACUACUUACAUAUAUAAUUUGAGAAAGCCAAGACAUACACUAACAUAAGAAGAUAUUUUGAUGCACUUAUUUGAUAAAACUAAAAACUGAUAAAAAAUAAUUUUAUGUAAAAGGGCUACUCCUACCGCAAGGGAUAAUGUACGACGCACUUCACUCACGUGUGGUGCCCAGGCCGGAUCCCAGCCAGAGCAUGAGUUGCACCUGACCGAUGUACUUCGACACGUAAUGAACUGAGCGACAGACAGAGUUGUCUUAUGGUCCUCGUACGAUGAUUGGAGUUCGAUGAAGGGUAUGGGUGGAAUUGACGUUGGUUCUUUGCUGGCCUCUCGAGUAGAGUGGCGGCGCUGUGUGCGAUCUAUAUCUAUAUCAUAAUUCGGAGGCUAAUGUUGUGCGUUGGAAGCGUAGGUAAAAAUAACUUUUGGUCCACUCUCUUUGUGGCUUGGUGCAAUGCUAUUCUUUGCGACCAAGUUUGGUGCAUAACAUUAUUCGAAUAUUCUAAUAAUUUUGGUGAAAAGGAGCGAAAUCCAAACUAAACACAUUUGAUACUUAUUCUUUUCAGAAUAUAAACUUAGCACCAAUGAAGAUAUCGGAAUAGCAUGAAAUCGAUGUAUCACUUAACACUAAUUGAGAUAGAUAUAGAGUUAUAUUCAGUGUACUAAAGAACGGAAUGCACCUUUCUCGAUAUUUAAAUGACUUUAAUCUUAAAAUAGGCAAUAAAUGAAUUGUUCUUUAUAUUUUGGAUAUAUA